AAUGAAUAGAUUACUUACUCCUGAAGAAGAAUGUUGGCUGUACCUUCUGCAAGUUGUUGCCAAUUUGUCUGUCAACUUUUGCACCAAAGCACCAAAUAACUGUUUGCCAGAUCUCAAGUGUGACAAGAAAGAGAUCUGUCAUCACCUAUAGGAAAACAAUGAACUGCAUGUAGCCAAGAGAUAAAGUUUCUCUCAGAAAGUCUGGGGCUCUGAAUUUCUCUGACUGUAAUGAGAGCUGUCCUUAUUACAAAUCUUUUUUGACAGCAAGAUUGUGAAGGAAGUAUGACUGGACAAUACUUUACCUUGUUAGGCAUGCACAAAUUUAUUUGGUUGCUAUGGCAAAUGAUCCAGAGCUACAUGCGACACUGAGCUUUCGUAGCACUGAGCUUUCAUAGCACUGAUGAGAGAGGGCAAGGUAGAAUAAAGUGAAGAAUGUGUUUACUGGUCUCCAUUCGCUUUCCAAAGCAGCCUCUCCUCACUUUGCCCGUUUUCUCCAUGUUUGAGAUUUCUUCAUCUGAUUACUAUGGAACAACACUGGAAAAUGUCUAGUGUGUAAUACAGAACAAGCCAAUAUAAAUUUAAGUUAAUGCAUAAAA